GCCUGGGUGGCUCAGUUAAGCAUCUGACUUUGGCUUAGGUCAUGACAUCACAGUUUGUGGGUUCAAGCCCCACAUCGGGCU
rnacentral:tRNA from 1 species